GGUUUCACCAUGUUGGCCAGGCUGGUUUUGAGCUUCUGACUUCAAGUGAUUUGCUCACCUCGGCCUCCCAAAGAGCUGGGAUUUUAGGCGUGAGCCACCGCGCCCAGCCCUACCUGUGAAAGAUUUAAGGGCUUCCUAGUUAAUGUGGGCCUGAAAAAGGAAGGACGUACAGAGUGAAUAUAAUUGAAUUUUUAUUAUUGUUAAUGUGUUAAUCUUUCUGGGAAGUGUAUUCUCAAAGAGAAAAUACACCUUUGAUAUUAGACUUCUGUGCACUUAGCAUUCACAUAUUUCAAAUAUUGCAGGUGAUUCCCUGUACUGUUUUGGGACAAAGCAAAGCAAUGGGAUCUUCUUAAAUGGUUUCUUUGCUGAGGAAUCCAGACCACCAAUUUGAAGUGACACAGAUUAGUCUUUUAACCAGAGAUAGACAAUGGACAAGAAACAGUGGAUCUUUCUACCUUGUUUUAGGUCAUCAGGUUUCUUCCAGUUUAGAUAACAAAAGUUGUGUCAUUUAUUAGUUGAAUUUUAAGUACAACUUCAGGAUAGAUAAUUUGUCAGGGUAAAUUAUCAUCAGGCUCUGGUAUAUAUUAGCUGUCACUAUUUGUUAUGCAGCUCAAAGUCAGUUUUCAUUGAAUAUUGUAUAUAUUUAGACAGGUAGAGGCAGAAAAUAGGUAACCGAAAUCUAUUUUUAGAACAGAGCCAUAUCUUAAUUAUAUGAAGAAACAUUAUUUAAUAUACAGAUAGCUGACCUUUUCCCAGAUAGUGUUUUUGUUUUUUGGAGGGAGAAGCUGAAUAUGAACCGGCAGUUAAAAAUUUGUAAAGUAAUCAACUUGCUCAUUUUCAUUGUAUAUUUUUGCUCUAAAGCAUUUUCCACGAACUGUGUGUUGAUCCAUGCCCUAAGCCAGAUGAUGACAACUUGACUGUUACCACCAAGCAGCGUGUCCCUGUAGAAAGUGUCAGAGCCUUUACCUGGACCUGCCAAUGGAAAAACAAAACAACAAACAACAACAACAAAAAACACAGUAUAGUUAAUGUAAAACAAGGGCCUCCUGAAUAACAUCCUUCCUUGAAGCCUACCACUGAAAUGGAAGAUCUUGUUGUGAGAGAUGCAGUACAAAGAAAGAAUGUACAGACAUUGAGAACAGGUAUAGUUUCAAUACAAAUGGAAUGCUGGAACUAAGUACAUUAAACGAUUGGAAGUACUCAUAUUCUUCUUACCCCUAAUUUUUUUUAUUCUAAAUUGAAUGGAAGGCAUUGACAUAAAUGUUACUGUUAGUAUCCAUAUUUCAAUAAAAAUAAAUUUAAAAGUAUAAGAAAAUAAGAUUUUUAAAAUAGGAGUUUUAACUUGGAUGUUUCCAUUUUAAUAUUUUGAAUAGCAUUAACAUUUCCAAUAUGGAAUUUUUAUACUUGUCGAGGAUUCAAAGCAGUGAACUUUGAGACUCUGAGAUAUUUCCAGUGUCUUAGUGCUAGUUGGAGUUCUGGUAUUUACUUAAAGGAAUGUUUUACUUAGAUUUCAGUUUCUGUAUUAACUUUAGAGACUUCCCGUUAAUGCUAUUACACCUAUGAUCUAAAGCCAAUGAAAUGUCCUAAUGAGCAGACUGUGUAUGCAUGUGUGUGUAUGGGUGUGUUUGUGGCAUCUUUAAUUAUCAAAAACUAGGAAAGUAAUCAUUCAUUCAUAACUAGAAGACAGUCUUUUAAAAUGGUGGUUUUGAGACUUUGUUAUAAGUUGUUUUUUUUUAAUAAUUGCAUAGAGACAACAUCAUGAACAUCACUGAGACUACCAACAUCAUUUGCUGUUUUCCAUUUCAAUACCCUUUUGAAAUCCUUAACUAUAUUGUGAUGCUCAGAAAUAAUAUGCAGAAUUUUUAUGUGUCCUAUAUCUACACUUUACAUAUUUUUCUGCCACUUUCUUUUGUGUACUUUGUAUUAUAUUUUCCAGAUGUAUCCACAUUGAUAUGAUUAGCUCUGGUUUAAUUCAUUUUACACUUGUUGUGUCUCUGCC